GCUGUGGCUCAGUGGUAGAGUGCUUGUCUUAGAUGUGUGAGGUACUGGGUUCGAUCCUCAGCACAACA
rnacentral:tRNA from 1 species